UGGGGAAUAUUGCACAAUGGGGGAAACCCUGAUCCAGCAAUGCCGCGUGUGCGAAGAAGGCCUUCGGGUUGUAAAGCACUUUUGUCAGGGAAGAAAUCCUUUGGGCUAAUACCCUAGGGGGAUGACGGUACCUGAAGAAUAAGCACCGGCUAACUACGUGCCAGCAGCCGCGGUAAUACGUAGGGUGCAAGCGUUAAUCGGCAUUACUGGGCGUAAAGCGUGCGCAGGCGGUUGUGUAAGACAGGUGUGAAAUCCCCGGGCUUAACCUGGGAAUUGCAUUUGUGACUGCACGACUAGAGUGUGUCAGAGGGGGGUGGAAUUCCACGUGUAGCAGUGAAAUGCGUAGAUAUGUGGAGGAACACCAAUGGCGAAGGCAGCCCCCUGGGAUAACACUGACGCUCAUGCACGAAAGCGUGGGGAGCAAACA
rnacentral:rRNA from 1 species